UCCUGGGAGGCUGCAGUGGGGAAUAUUGGGCAAUGGAGGCAACUCUGACCCAGCCAUGCCGCGUGGGUGACGAAGGUCUUCGGAUUGUAAAGCCCUUUCGGCGGAGACGAUGAUGACGGUAUCCGCAGAAGAAGCCCCGGCUAACUUCGUGCCAGCAGCCGCGGUAAUACGAAGGGGGCUAGCGUUGUUCGGAAUUACUGGGCGUAAAGGGCGUGUAGGCGGCCCGCUAAGUCAGGUGUGAAAGGCCUGGGCUCAACCCAGGAAAUGCGCCUGAGACUGACGGGCUUGAAUCCGGGAGAGGAUGGUGGAACUCCCAGUGUAGAGGUGAAAUUCGUAGAUAUUGGGAAGAACACCCGUGGCGAAGGCGGCCAUCUGGACCGGUAUUGACGCUAAGGCGCGACAGCGUGGGGAGCAAACAGGAUUAGAUACCCGAGUAGUCC
rnacentral:rRNA from 1 species